GAGCCGUCCGAGAGCUGCUGCAGGAGGCCGACCCACAGCUGACGCUCAGGGAAACGCCCACCGUACGUGAACGCCCCCAAUCGUGGGAUCGCGAGGCUCCGAUAGGUCGGCGCAGGAGAUUCUCGGGCUUUAUAAAGGACCAGGUUGCGACCAGUUGCCCUGCUGCUGCUUUCGCUUAUUUCUGUCUUAAUUCCAUCUUUUGUACCUCCGUUACCACCAUGCCCAGCAACCAUAAGAAGAACAAGCGCCGCAUGAGGAAAAAGUUCCUCGCCGGCCAAACAGAAGCUGCAGAGAUCAAGAAACUGCAGGAGUCUGCUUUGAUUCUGCCAGGGCAGAAGAUUGUAUUUCCAGCUUCUCUGAUCACGCCAGUGAGAGAAGUGAAGCCUGUGGUCUUGGUCAAAGAACAUGUCAAUGUUCCCAAAGCUGCCAAGGUUGCCAAACCCCGAAAGCCAGUGCAAGCAGAUGUUAUUGAUGGGAUCAGCGCAAAGGCACCAAAGGCCAAACCUGCAGCAGCUGUGGUGGCAGCCGUAGUCGCCGAAGCCAUAGCCCCAGCAGAGAAGGCAGUUUGCAAACCUGUGCAGGCACCAGUUGCUGAAACCAAAGUAGCAGCUGAAGUAACGGCAGAGGUGGCUGUUGCAGUCCCAGUGGUAGUGGCUGAAGUACCGGAGGAAGCGGCUGAAGUAACUGCGGUGGAGGCUGUUGCUGCACCAGUGGUGGCAGAGGAGGCGGUUCAAGUGGUAGCAGAAGAGGUUGUCGACGUACCGGUUGUAGCAGCUGAAGUAACGGCAGAGGAGGAUGUUGUAGCAGCUGAAGUAACGGCAGAGGAGGAUGUUGCCGCACCAGUGGUAGCAGAGGAGGAUGUUGCCGCACCAGUGGUAGCAGAGGAGGCUGUUGCCGCACCAGUGGUAGCAGAGGAGGCUGUUGCCGCACCAGUGGUAGCAGAGGAGGCUGUUGCCGCACCAGUGGUAGCAGAGGAGGCUGUUGCCGCACCAGUGGUAGCAGAGGAGGCUGUUGCCGCACCAGUGGUAGCAGAGGAUGCUGUUGUAGCAGCUGAAGUAACGGCAGAGGAGAUUGUGGUAGCAGCAGCAGAGGAGGCUGUGGCUGUACCAGUGUUGGCCGCUGAAACCGAAGCCACACCAGAACCCAUAGCAGUAGCAGAUCCAGUAGUGGUGGAGGCUGUGGUCGCUGAAACCGAAGCAACACCAGAACCAGCAGCAGAGGAGGCAGUUACUGAAAUUGAAGUCCUACCUGAGCCAGCCACAGUGGAGGAGGCGGUUGUCGAUGCCGCAGUCACCGAAACCGAAGUCCUACCAGCAGCAGUGGCGGAGGCAGUUAUCGAUACAGUGAUUGUUGCAGUUACCGAAACAGAGGUCCUACCCGAAGCACCAGCAGAAGCAGUGGAGGAGGCGGUUAUCGAUGCUGUGUGUGCCGCAGUUUCCGAAAUCGAAGUCUUGCCAGCAGCAGUGGAGGGGGUGGUUAUCGAUACCGUGAUUGCCGCGGUUACAGAAACCGAAGUCACACCAGAAACGGCAGCCGUGGAGGAUGUUAGUGAAACAGUCUCAGCCGUGGCAACAGAAACCGAAGUCGUAGCGGAAACCACAGUGGAAGCAGAGUCGGGAGUUGAGGCUUCUUUGGAAAUUGAAGCUGUUGUUGAGGAGGUGGCUGUAGCGUGCGAAAGUGAGCCAUCCGUGGUGGCUGAAGUGCAGGUUGAAGAGAAGAGCGUCGAGGAGGUGGUGGUGUUGACUGAACAAGUUGUCACAAUAGAUGAAAACACAGAGAGCACACUAGAGGUAUUGGCAGAAGACCUCUGUCACCUCGAGCAGAAGGCUUUCAUCGAAGAGCCUUGUCUGACAGAGCUUCCAACAAAGACCAUGACAAUGGAGAUUUCCCCACUGGAAGGCCUGGUUUCUGCUCAGACUCCGGUUGAUUUACAUUGAGAACUCGGGCCACGUUGAGAUCUGCAUGUGAUGCGAUGCAGAUUAAAUUGACGGGACGGAAGACUCUAUCCAGGGGCUGAGCAGUCACACUCUACCCUAUCCAUUUAUCAAAGGGUUUAAACACAGAACUUUCAAACAAUAAUCACACUAAAGUGCCUUCUUAUAAAGUAACAUGAAGUUCUCCAAGGAAUCGACUCGUCUUCGGCCCUGUCGGGUAUAAUCUGGACCAACGGGUAUCUUUAAAGGAUGCACAUGGGUUGCGGGGGUUGAUUAGGAUACAUAUGGCUUUGUUAGGGUACAUGUGGGGUAGAACACAUAGAAGGUCCGAUACAUGGUCACACCCGAGGCUCGUUGCCACGGAGACAGUGUUCACUGUUGAAGAUGCUAUACCAGCAAGGCGCAUCAAUCAAGUCCAUUUUUUCCUCGUUUUUAUUCCCCGUUUUUUUUUCUUUCACCUUUUCUAUACUGUGUUUUAUAUAAUCCAUACAAUGUGCUUUAGCAAAGCCCAGAAAAAGUGAUGGGGUUUUGUUGGUUGGGACAGAAGAACUUUCAUCUUUAUGAAAUAAAUGAAGCUGUAACUCAACUGAAUAAAGAUUACAAAUGUGAUAUUGAUAAUGUUAUUUCUUUGGUUUUGCUGGUUGCGGUACCUUCAUUUUGAUUACUAAAUCAGGGGGAGAGAAGGUAGAGCAGGCAAGCUGGGGAUCUGGAGAGUUACUGUAAAGAUGCUCUUUGAUUAUUCACUGCCUAAAAUGUUGGUGUCCAACUGACACAAGACCUCACCUACAUACAAACACAGUGGCCUCUUGCUAUAUGCUGAUCAACGUACACAAGGUGGUUUGUUAAGGGAAAAUCCAACAUUGGGACAAUUGUGUAACCCUGCCCUUGUUCCUAAUUGCCUACAUAUUGUGGUCGGCCAAUGUGCACCGUGUACAUCAGAAUUGUCCAAUAGCGAUCGGUGGACUACUCGGGUGUAAACAUUUCGCAUGGGCGAGGAAGGUUACUUUGGCACUUCAGACCUGAGCAUAAUAUUAACGACCCUGAACCAUAUAUAAUAGGUUAUUAAUCAAAAGUAGGCGGCGAAGGGCAAUAAAAGCUUGGGUAUGACACAAUUACAAUAAUAGUUAAAUGUAGGUAUACGUGUGUAUUUAUUCAUAUUGCAGAAUGUGAUUUCAAAUCCUAUGCAUAAGCUGUUGGUGCAGUGACAUGAAUGCAUUGUGAAUGACAGACUGCAGAGUAGAAGUCCAAGGGGCAGGCUUUGUUUUGGAGUCCCACUGCCAAGGGGAAGAAACCGUUCAGGAGGAUCAAUGUUUUUGUAUUACGGAUCAGAACCUUUCUCCUAGAUGGAAGAGGUGGUGACCGGGAUGGGAAGGAUCAGCCAAGAUGUUUCCUGCUCCUCCUGGUCCAGGGAGAGGUGGCAGCUGGUGUGUGUGUGUGUGUGUGUGUCACAGGCUGACCCUGUGAUCUGCUCCAGACUGCCCUGUCUAUCCAUUGCGGUGGAGGCAAUCAGACUUUGAUAAUGAGCUGAGGAUGUAAUCCGUGAUGGCCGUGUGGAACUAGACCAUGGUUUCCUGGGGCAUCAGGUCGAAUUUAUAGCCAGAACACCUUCCUAACCUGAGCAUUCUUGAUGGUAGAGGUGAUGGAUAAGGUCCUCUAGGGAUUGAUGGGCCCAGUUGGUCAAAAAUAAUCUGCUCAGAUUAUGGCGGAUUGGAUGAAAUCUUGAAAUGGGUUGUUUAAAAGAAUGAAUAUAUAUUCUGAAAUAAAAACUUUGCAUAUUGUAUUAGUAAAAAGUACAUUAGUAGAGUACAAAGAUUUAUUUAUCAUUUACAAGUGUAAAACAGUACAUUAGGCUGCCAAUUGUGCCUUUCAAUACAAUCAAGACUGUCCUAAAAAUGAAGCCUUCAAUUAGCUGUCAAUAUCAAAGAUAAACAAUCUUUUAUAAAAUCAUUUGUUAUUAAUGUAUGGUAAAUAUAUGAGAUGAAUCAGUAAAUAAGUAGUUUGUUAGGUGAGUGCUGCAUGCAGCGAACAACCAUUCUUAUGUUUUAUUUAGGGCUUGGCAACAAUUAAAAGUUUUAAUUGCAAUUAAUCACAUAGUAUGUUGAGUUAACUCGCGAUUAAUCACAUUUUAAAUCAACCAAUUUAAAUCAGAUUAUCGAAAACUAGGCUAAUAGAUCUUGAAGGAGUUUUAUUGACCCUCAGUGUGGGUUGAAUAGGAAAUUUACGGAACACCACAGAUUUAGGAAUUGUAAACAGGCAGUUAAUUAGUACAAUUGUCAACCAACAGUUACUACGAGUGUAGUUUAAUUCAAAUAAGUAGCGCCACAUAUUUUGGAAUAGUAAACAGGCUG
ensembl:lncRNA